rnacentral:tRNA from 1 species
AGGGCGGUAGCUCAGUUGGUAGAGCAACGGACUCAUAAUCCGUCAGGUCGUGGGUUCGAGCCCCACCCGCCCUA